GCUUGCUUUGGUAAACAUGUACACUAAAAUUGGAAUGACCCAAAGACUAGCAUUGAUACUGCUCAAGGAUGACACACAAAUUUAUGAAGUGUUCCAUACUAUU